rnacentral:rRNA from 1 species
GUAGGGAAUAUUGGGCAAUGGAGGCAACUCUGACCCAGCCAUGCCGCGUGCAGGAUGACGGCCCUCUGGGUUGUAAACUGCUUUUAUACGGGAAGAAAAAUACUACGUGUAGUAUACUGACGGUACCGUAAGAAUAAGGAUCGGCUAACUCCGUGCCAGCAGCCGCGGUAAUACGGAGGAUCCAAGCGUUGUCCGGAUUUAUUGGGUUUAAAGGGUGCGUAGGCGGAUCUUUAAGUCAGUGGUGAAAGCCUGCAGCUUAACUGUAGAAUUGCCAUUGAAACUGAAGAUCUUGAAUGUGGUUAAAGUAGGCGGAAUGUAUCAUGUAGCGGUGAAAUGCUUAGAUAUGAUACAGAACACCGAUAGCGAAGGCAGCUUGCUGAACCAUUAUUGACGCUGAGGCACGAAAGCGUGGGGAGCGAACAGGAUUAGAUACCCCUGUAGUCC